rnacentral:rRNA from 1 species
GAUGAACGCUGGCGGCGUGCCUAAUACAUGCAAGUCGAGCGAACGGACGAGAAGCUUGCUUCUCUGAUGUUAGCGGCGGACGGGUGAGUAACACGUGGAUAACCUACCUAUAAGACUGGGAUAACUUCGGGAAACCGGAGCUAAUACCGGAUAAUAUUUUGAACCGCAUGGUUCAAAAGUGAAAGACGGUCUUGCUGCCACUUAUAGAUGGAUCCGCGCUGCAUUAGCUAGUUGGUAAGGUAACGGCUUACCAAGGCAACGAUGCAUAGCCGACCUGAGAGGGUGAUCGGCCACACUGGAACUGAGACACGGUCCAGACUCCUACGGGAGGCAGCAGUAGGGAAUCUUCCGCAAUGGGCGAAAGCCUGACGGAGCAACGCCGCGUGAGUGAUGAAGGUCUUCGGAUCGUAAAACUCUGUUAUUAGGGAAGAACAUAUGUGUAAGUAACUGUGCAUAUCUUGACGGUACCUAAUCAGAAAGCCACGGCUAACUACGUG